GGGCGGAGCAGACGAACACUCGCACUGACUCCGUCCGCCGGCCGCCUCUGCUGCGUCACAGCUGCACAACAGUGGACAGAUGUCUGUCUGCAGCUGCAACACCUGACACCGCAUCACACCAAGUUCUUCCUGUAGGGUGACGAAGCGUUGAGACUAAAUACUGUCCACAGCUGAGGGAGAAUCAUCGUCUAACGCUGAGUAAUAUCUGUGAUGGGUGGACAGACUGGACAGAAGUCCCUGCAGCCAGAGCGACUCGACCAGAGCCUCCAGACGAACAGCCUUCUUCUGGCAGCUCCUCCUGUUCUCCUCCAGCUCCUCCCUCAGGAACGUGUCUCCAUGUUGGAUCUGACUGAGCUCCAGCAGAGCG